UACGUAGGUGGCAAGCGUUAUCCGGAAUUACUGGGCGUAAAGCGCACGCAGGCGGUCUUGUAAGUUUGGCGUGAAAGCUCCCGGCUUAACUGGGAGAGGUCGCUGAAGACUGCAAGACUUUGAGGAAAUGAGAGGGGUGUAGGAUUCCCGGUGUAGUGGUGGAAUGCGUAGAUAUCGGGGGGAAUACCAGUGGCGAAGGCGACUACCUGGCCUGUUCUUGACGCUGAGGCGCGAAAGCUAGGGGAGCAAACGGG
rnacentral:rRNA from 1 species